rnacentral:rRNA from 3 species
CUGACCUGCCCGGUGAUUAAUUUAACGGCCGCGGUAUACUGACCGUGCAAAGGUAGCAUAAUCAUUAGUCUUUUAAUAGAGGGCUGGAAUGAAAGGUUUAACGAGGAAUUGACUGUCUCAUUUUAUUUGUUUUAAAAUUUAAUUUUUUGGUUAAAAAGCUAAAAUUUCAUUGGAAGACGAGAAGACCCUAUAGAUCUUUAUAAAACUAUAAUUAGCUAUUAUUAUAUUAAUAUAAUUAAUUAUAUUUUUAUUUUGUUGGGGUGACAAAAAUAUAUAAUAAACUUUUUUAUUUAUAUAACAUUGAUUUAUGAUUAUAGGAUCCAUUAUUAGUGAUUAUUAGAUUAAGUUACCUUAGGGAUAACAGCGUAAUCCUCCUCCAGAGUUCAUAUUUACAGGAUGGGCUUGCGACCUCGAUGUUGGAUUAAGAUAAUAAUCAGGUGUAGCCGCUUGAUUUAUAGGUCUGUUCGACCUUUAA